rnacentral:rRNA from 1 species
AGCGAACGCUGGCGGCAGGCCUAACACAUGCAAGUCGAACGGCAGCACAGUAAGAGCUUGCUCUUACGGGUGGCGAGUGGAGGACGGGGGAGGAAUACAUCGGAAUCUACUUUUUCGUGCGGGAUAACGUACGGAAACUUACGCUAAUACCGCAUAUGACCUACGGGUGUAUGCAGGGGAGCUUCGGACCUUGCGCGAUUGAAUGAGCCGAUGCCGAAUUAGCUAGUUGGCGGGGUAAAGGCCCACCAGGGCGACGCGCGGUACCUGGUCUGAGAGGAUGAUCGGCAACAUGGGAAGGGAGAAAGGGUCCGGACUCCUAGGGGGGGAAGCGGUGGGGAAUCUUAGACAAGGGGGGAAAGCCUAAGCCAGCAAAACCGCGGGGGGGAGGAGGGCGUCAGGGUUGUAAAGUCCUUUUGUUGGGAAGGAAAUGCAGCUGGUUAAUACCCCGCUGUACUGACGGUACCCGAAGAAUAAGCACCGGCUAACUUCGUG